UACGUAGGGUGCAAGCGUUAAUCGGAAUUACUGGGCGUAAAGCGUGCGCAGGCGGUUAUGUAAGACAGUUGUGAAAUCCCCGGGCUCAACCUGGGAAUUGCAUCUGUGACUGCAUAGCUAGAGUACGGUAGAGGGGGAUGGAAUUCCGCGUGUAGCAGUGAAAUGCGUAGAUAUGCGGAGGAUACACCGAUGGCGAAGGCAAUCCCCUGGACCUGUACUGACGCUCAUGCACGAAAGCGUGGGGAGCAAACAGG
rnacentral:rRNA from 1 species